rnacentral:rRNA from 1 species
AUGUCGUGGUCGUCUAGUGCCAGGUCCGCUCCCGGAUUUCGUCGAGCUGCAGGAAGGAGGGGGGAGGAGUCGCGCUCGCCGGUACGCUACCGCGAGCUCCCAGUGGCAUACGAGCCUCCAGUGAUGUGCCACUGCUCACCUCCGAGGAAGGCGCCAAUAUGGAUCUCCUGGAGCAGGCAGAACCCUGGUAGGAGGUACUAUAGCUGCGUGGAUGCUAUGCACGGUGGCUGUGGAUUUGUGCAAUGGCAUGAUGAUCCAUUGCCCACAUUCUGGAGUGAGCUCAUUAGGGAUCUACGUGAUGAAGUAUGGAGGCUUAAAGGUGCAACUGUUGCUAGAUCUGAAGAUCAAUUUCCAAUCCUGACUCCAAGAAGAUGA